CGUGAGUGAUGAAGGCUUUCGGGUCGUAAAGCUCUGUCAAGUGGGAAGAACCUGUUAGAUACUAAUACCAUCUAGCACUGACGGUACCACUAAAGGAAGCACCGGCUAACUCCGUGCCAGCAGCCGCGGUAAUACGGGGGGUGCAAGCGUUAUUCGGAAUUAUUGGGCGUAAAGGGCGCGUAGGCGGUCUCUAAAGUCAGAUGUGAAAGCCCGGGGCUUAACCCCGGAAGUGCAUUUGAAACUUAGGGACUUGAGUAUGGGAGAGGGAAGUGGAAUUCCUGGUGUAGCGGUGAAAUGCGUAGAUAUCAGGAGGAACACCAGUGGCGAAGGCGACUUCCUGGACCAAUACUGACGCUGAGGCGCGAAGGCGUGGGGAGCAAACAGGAUUAGAUACCCUGGUAGUCCACGCAGUAAACGGUGAACACUAGGUGUAGCGGGUAUUGACCCCUGCUGUGCCGCAGCUAACGCAUUAA
rnacentral:rRNA from 1 species